rnacentral:rRNA from 1 species
GGGUCAUUAGGUUGGUCGUGCCACCGGUACGUACUGGUCUCACUGAUUCCUCCUUCCUGAAGAACCGUAAUGCCAUUAAUUUGGUGUUGCGGGGAAGCAGGACUGUUACUUUGAAAAAAUUAGGGUGUUUAAAGCAAGCUAACGCUUGAAUACAUUAGCAUGGAAUAAUGAAAUAGGACGAUCGGUCCUAUUUUGUUGGUUUCUAGGAUUGACGUA